CUGGCUUCCUGUGUGCAAAGGGUCAGAGCUUAGAGGCCGGAGUUUGAGAGAGUCGGAGAGGGACGGACGGACAGACAGAUGUUAGGACGCACAGCUGAGCCCGGGUCCUAUACGCCCGGCGUGGCAUCGCCACUGGGCGCAGCGCUGUGACUCAGGCGCUGCGGCCGAGCAGAAGCCCUCGGCCUGCCCACCCCAACCCUCUCCCCACCCCCCGCCGGCAGAAGGGAAAGUCCGGAGCGGACCGCCCCACGAGGAGGAAGCAAAGGCGACCUCUGCGGCCGCGGGGCGCCACGCGAAUUUAGCAAGGCCGGCGGGGCUGCGUGCCCCAGCGACAGGGGUCUGGGCAACAGCCGGCUGCGGUGCCCUCCGACGGCAACGACUGAAAGAGUGGGGGACCCUUAGGCAAAGAAGUCCCUAGGUGCUCUGCUUCCAAUGCGGGCAGGAAACGUCCCUGCAUUCACGUUAAAUAACAACGAGCUGCAUUCGCUGUGCAUAGCGCGCGCUCCAAUUUAGGACUCGAACUGCACACUGAGGUCACCCAGGACUCAGGCGGCCCUCAAGGUUAAACCUGAGUUCCCGCGGAGCCCUGCAGAAGAGCUCCAGGUGGCACAGGCAGCGAAUACCAACUUGACACCUGCAGAUGACCAGUGAUCACCUUUCAGCUUGAGGCUGUUUUGCCUUUACAUAAGGCAAUUUCAGCCAAAACCACAGGCACACAGGCCCCAUGGAGCCCACCACCCUCCUGCUUAGGAAGAACAGAGCUUCCCAGAGGCCAGCACUGGCUAGGGUUCCAGUGAGCAUCAUGGAAAGGAUGACGUGGCAGCGGACGUCACUCAGCACUCUGCCAAUCAUGCUGUCAAUCACACUCUGGAAGACCCAGUGGGAAGCACCGUGGACCGGGGCCCUCAGCGCCCCUGCUCGUUCCCUUUGCAUCCCUAGGGCAGCACAUUCAGAGUGCGUCAUCGCCUCAUCAGACCUUGCUAAACUCUCCUGCUUCUUCCUUACUGUUGCAGGCCACGUCCAUUUUUUUGUCCACUGUGCACAAGAACCCAGAAACUUGUUCAGGGCUGUGUCAGCCAAGGUGACACUCCCAAAAAGAGUCGGAAUGUGUGAUGGAUAUGCACGCGCUCCCCACAGUGAAUGCCACUCUUAUGUCCUGCAAACAUGUACUCCUAAAAAAAAAUAAAUUCUUAAAAAGGAACAGCCUAACAGUGUCACAA